GACAUUGACAUUAAAAAUUUUAGAGAGAGAGAAAAUGAUUAAAGGGAACCUGAAACGAUUUUCACGAUUUUCUACAAACGUACGGAGACUUUAGAGUAGGUCCUUCUGAUCAUUAAUUGACACAUCUAAGCGCUCCACGUAAAGCGUGUAAUUUAUUAUAAGGUU
rnacentral:lncRNA from 1 species